CAAGAAUUGAUCAUGGAGGAAGAUCCUCGGGAUAAAAUAAUCUCUUGGCAAACUUGCCAAUAAACGAUCCAAUAGCAAAAUUAACUUACAAUUAGUCCAGAUACUAACUCUGCUGGUUGUGCAUGCCCACACUUCCCAAAACCGUGGGCCACUUUUCUCCUAUUGGACCACCAAGAACGAACCUUUAUUCUUCAACACUAGAACUCCAAACACCUCUUCUCCAAGCUUAAGAUUUCUCAAGCUUUAUAGAUGAAGGCAGAGGGUUGUUUAGUGUUCGAAUGGCUAAAGCAAGAGAUUUAUUAAAAUAUGUAAUGGAUCUUCAAAUAAUGUUCUCUUCACUUAAAAUAAAAGCUCAACCAAUGGAAAACAAUAAAUGGGAAAAUAUUAAAUAUAUUUGUGAUUGAAUCAAUAUAUCUUUUGAAAUGAGUUUAUGAUCUUCAAAUAUUGAUCUCUAUAAUGAAUAUAAUGUUCAACCACACUUUAGAACAUUCCAUGGCUUGUGUAUUUAUAAUGGAUAGUGUUUAGGGUGAAAAGGGAUUGAAAAUCACAGUUAAAAUCGAAUCAAGAUUCUUGCUAGAUAAUAUCGCCUCCCAAGCACCAAGUAUGAACCAAGCAAGCAGCAGCCCGUCUCUCAAGCGGGCAGUUACUGUUAAGCAAGCACCAAUGAUUCUACUUCAAUUUGUGUUGCGCCACUCAAGUGCUAAUGUAAUGUACCGAAAUUUCAUAGAAUAGAAUUUAAUUUAUGUGUGCUAUAAUUUAAUAUUUUG
rnacentral:lncRNA from 1 species